rnacentral:misc_RNA from 1 species
UUCUAGAACAGGCAAAAAACUUACUUUUUAAAACCUUUUUUUUUUAAUGAGUAAUCUGUUCUACAUUUGUUGUUUUGUAUUUGUAUUCCAAGUAUGCAAUGGAGCACUCUCGUCACCUCCAUCAUCAUUCUCAUGUCCACCCCAAAAGCACGAAUCAAACAUUACCUUCCAUUAACUUAGAGAACUCCCCGUCUGGUUGAACCACUGAGUCUAUCUAGCAUUAUUUUUCUCAUAAGGGCAACAUGUUGAGAUUUAUUUACCUCGAAAAUUAAGUAGAAGAGGAAGGAAGUUUUGCUUUGUUCAUCUGGAAACUGCAACUCAGUUAACACUUUCUUUCGCCUUUCAACUCAAUGUGGAUCGGGUCAUACAAACUACAUGCUUUCAUCACUAAACCUUACAGAGCCAUUAGAUCUUCUCCAGAACACAACAAACAGAAGGAUUUCUCCCACUGUGGUCAUUCUUAUCAUAAGCCUGAUGUGGUUAAGAGGCCUCCCCUUUCUCAAGAAAGAGCUAGGGAUGUAAGUUCUAAUGGUUUUAUUAACAACUCUAUUUUCUCAUAUGGUAUAGGUGUUGAUAUCUAUCAAGGACGACCUCUCCCAUCUGUUGAGCACCAUAUGUAUGCGGUCACUACAAAACCUUGGAGAACAAUUUUAGAGAUAAGGAGGGUUGACUCAACAGGUCAGCUAUCACAACAUUAUGCGAUAUUCAAGGCCUUCCCACCUUACAGUCUAAAAUUAUCAAUGAAAGUAUCUUUUUUAUUAAGGUUUUUCCCAUGGGUAAUGAUUUGGUCUUAAUCACUUUUGAAUCAAAAGAUCACAUUGAUGGUUUCUUUAAAGAGAUUAUAGAUUGGCUUGAGCGUUGGUUUUUGGAAGUUAAGCCAUAGGAAGCUUCUUUGUCUUCAACAAAGCGUCUAGUUUGGGUUUAUCUCUACGGUGUGCCAUUGCCUGUCUAGGAUGCUGACUUUUUCAAAUGGCUUGGAAGCAAAUGCUGUACAUUCAUUGUCAUGGAAAAUAUUACCCGAGCAAAAUCCUAUUUUGAUUGGAGGAGAAUUCUUUUGUUUACAAACCCUAAGGAAACCCAAGACAGCCAGCAGCAAUCGCUUUCUCCUGCGCUCCAUCCAACCCACGUGCCUAAGAGACAAUCUGAGCAUGCAGUGGCGCACUUGGGAAUUUGGACUACUACAGGAGAAAUUGGGUUUAUCUUUCUCAGUUCCUGACAAUGAGGUGAUUCAAAUCUUCCUCAGGCAAAUUCAGGAGGAAAUGGAGGCAUUCAAAGGAAUUAGCCAAGUCCUUUUUGGGGUCCCACAGAUUAUUUUAUUGU